UUUUUCCAGCAGCUGAGAGUAGUGGAAAGCCUGUGAAUCCAAGCACAUCAGCGGCUACAGCUAUGGCUGAGCGCCGCGCAUUCGCCCAAAAAAUCAGCAGAACUGUAGCAGCCGAGGUGAGAAAACAGAUCGCUGGUCAGUAUGGGGGCUCCCCACAGCUCCUCAAGAACCUCAACGUGGGUGCCGCCGCCAGCAACACCGUUCCUCUCACAGAGGCGGUGGAGCCGGUGGACUUUGAGGAGUACCUCAUCACCCAUCCCCCCAUCAUCGAGUCGGGCCCCCUAAGGGACCUUAUCGAUUUCCCCCCGGAUGACAUCGAAGUGGUAUACACCCCCAGAGAGUGUCGUACCGUGGGACAGGCCGUGCCUGAGGAAGGGGACAAUGAUGCCCACGUCAGAGAUUGUGUCAGGUCCUACACUGAGGACUGGGCCAUCGUCAACAGAAAAUACCAUAAGCUUGGUACAGGAUUUAACCCUAACACCCUGGACAGGCAGAAGGAGAGGCAGAAAGGCCUGCCCAAACAGGUGUUUGAGGCCGAUGAGAUGCCAGACGUUAGCACUUACCAGGACGACCAGGAUGAUCUGAAGCGUAGGUCCAUGUCCAUAGAUGACACCCCGCGUGGCAGUUGGGCCUGUAGUAUCUUUGACCUGAAGAACUCUGUCCCUGACGCCGUCCUGCCCCACCUGCUUGACCGGGCCCCCAACGAGGAGAUUGACCGCCACAACGAGGAGCACCGCAAGUCCCACCGCCACCGUGAGCUCUUCGCCCUGCACCCUGCCCUCGAUGAGGAAGAACCCAUAGAGCGCCACUGUGUGCCUGACGUCCCUAAGGAACAUUUUGGCCAGAGGCUACUCGUCAAGUGCUUGUCCUUGAAGUUUGAGAUUGAAAUUGAGCCCAUAUUCGCCUGUUUGGCCUUAUAUGAUGUCAAGGAAAAGAGAAAGAUAUCGGAAAACUUCUUCUUUGACCUGAACUCAGAGCAGACUAAAGGGAUGCUGCGCCCCCACAUCCAGACAGCAGCCAUCUCUACUCUCGCCCGCUCUGCAAUUUUCUCCAUUACAUACCCCUCCCAGGAUGUCUUCCUCGUCAUACAGCUGGAGAAGGUGUUGCAGCAGGGAGACAUAGGAGAAUGUGCAGAACCGUACAUGGUCUUCAAAGAGUCUGAUGCAGCCAAAAACAAAGAAAAGUUGGACAAGUUGCGGAGCCAGUCGGAGCAAUUCUGCACACGUCUGGGUCGGUACCGGAUGCCCUUCGCCUGGACAGCCAUCCACCUGAUGAACAUCGUGAACAGCGCCGGCAGUCUGGAGAGAGACACUGAGCUGGAGAUGGGACUUCCAGAGAGGAAAGGGUCGUGGUCUGAGAGGAGGAACUCGAGUAUCGGUGGACGGCGCUCAUUAGAGAGAACCACCAGUGGAGAUGAAUCAUGUAGCCUGACCAGCUUCAGACCUGCAACCCUCACCGUCACUAAUUUCUUCAAACAGGAGGGAGACAGACUGAGUGAUGAGGACCUGUAUAAGUUCCUGGCUGACAUGAGGAGGCCGUCUUCAGUGCUGAGGAGACUGAGGCCAAUCACAGCCCAGCUGAAGAUCGACAUAUCCCCGGCCCCAGAGAACCCCCACUACUGCUUGACCCCUGACCUCCAGCAGGUCAAGCCCUACCCAGACAGCAGGGUUCGCCCCACCAGAGAGAUACUGGAGUUCCCCCCCAGGGAUGUCUAUGUACCCAACACUACCUACAGGAACCUACUCUAUGUGAACCCACACAGCCUGAACUUCGCCAACCGUCAAGGCUCCGCCCGGAACAUCACAGUGAAAGUACAGUUUAUGAACGGGGAGGACCCCAACAACGCUAUGCAGGUGAUUUUUGGGAAGUCCAGCUGUGGAGACUACACCAGAGAGGCAUACACUGCCGUGGUGUAUCAUACCAGGUCCCCGGACUUCCAUGAUGAGGUGAAGAUCAAGCUGCCGGCCUCUCUGACUGACCACCACCAUGUCCUGUUCACCUUCUACCAUGUCAGCUGCCAGCAGAAACAGAACACCCCCCUGGAAACCCCUGUGGGAUACACGUGGAUCCCCAUGCUUCAGAAUGGACGCCUGCGUACAGGAAGCUUCUGUCUGCCGGUGUCUCUAGAGAAACCUCCCCAGUCCUACUCUGUUCUCUCCCCUGACGUUCCUCUACCAGGGAUGAAAUGGGUGGAUAACCACAGAGGGGUGUUCAACGUUGAGGUGACAUCCGUUUCCACCGUCCACACACAGGACCAGUACCUGGAUAAGUUCUUUGCGUUGGUGCAUGCCCUGGACGAGCACAUGUUCCCUGUGCGGAUUGGAGACGUGCGCAUCAUGGAGAAUAACCUGGAGGCGGAGCUAAAGUCCAGCAUCGCAGCACUAAACUCCUCCCAGCUGGAGCCCAUCGUCCGAUUCCUCCACCUCCUAUUGGACAAGCUGGUGGUGCUGGUGGUGCGGCCGCCCGUCAUCGCAGGACAGAUAGUGAAUCUGGGCCAGGCCUCGUUCGAGGUGAUGGCAUCCAUAGUGAAUCGGCUCCACAAGUACCUAGACACCAGUCAGGACAUGCACGGCAGAAACAGUCUGCUCUCCUCUUAUAUAUACUACGUCUUCAGACUGCCCAACAUGGACCCCAACUUCCCCUCACCAGGUCCUGGAGGGCUGGGUGGUUCAGUCCACUAUGCCACCAUGGCCAGGUCAGCCCAGCGACCAGCUAGCCUAAACCUCAACCGCUCCCGUAGCCUUAGCAACAGUAACCCGGACAUCUCCGGAACACCCACGUCCCCUGACGACGAGGUCCGCUCAAUCAUCGGCAGUAAGGGUCUAGACCGCUCCAACUCCUGGGUGCACACCAUGGGGUGUAAGAGCACCCCCUGGGGAUCCAGCCCUGUCUCUGAUACUGACACCAUGCAGGCCAUGGAGCGCUGUGGCAACCGCAUGUCUUCGCACACUGAGAGCACCAGUUUCUUGCAAACUUUAACAGGACGGUUACCCACCAAAAAGUUGUUCCAUGAGGAACUGGCCCUACAGUGGGUGGUAAGCAGUGGCAGCGUCAGAGAGGGAGCUCUCCAACAGGCCUGGUUCUUCUUCGAGCUCAUGGUGAAGAGCAUCAUCCAUCACCUGUACUUCACCGACCGGCUGGAGUCGCCCAGGAAGAACCGUUUCCCCGAGCGCUUCAUGGAUGACAUCACAGCCCUGGUCAGCACCAUUGCUGGGGACAUUGUCUCACGCUUUCAGAAGGACCUGGAGCUGGUGGAGCGUCUUAACACUAGCCUGGCCUUCUUCCUGAAUGACCUGCUGUCUGUCAUGGACCGAGGCUUCGUCUUCUCCCUCAUAAAGACCUACUGGAAACAGGUCUCCACUAAGCUGUACAUGCUGCAGAACCCCACUCUGGAGUCUCUGAGGCUGGACUUACUGAGGAUCGUCUGCAGCCACGAGCACUAUGUCACCCUUAACCUGCCCUGCAGCCUGCUCACGCCUCCCGCCUCGCCAUCUCCCAGUGUGUCCUCCGCAACCUCGCAGAGCUCAGGCUUCUCCACCCAUGCGCAGGACCAGAAGAUAGCCAACAUGUUCGAGCUGUCUGUUCCCUUCAGAGAGCAGCACUACCUGGCUGGACUGGUGCUGUCUGAGCUGGCUGUCAUCCUGGACCCAGAGGCUGAAGGGAUGUUUGGCUUACAUAAGAAGGUGGUCAGUGUGGUACAUAACCUGCUGUCCAGCCAUGACUCCGACCCCCGCUACGCUGACCCCGAGGUCAAGGCCCGCGUCGCCACGCUCUACCUGCCGCUCAUUGGCAUCGUCAUGGAAACACUUCCCCAGCUUCACGAUUUCACAGAGUCCCAUAACCAGUGGGGUCGUCCCGGGGGUGCUCAGGGUGCCGCGGGUGGGGCCGGGGGGGACGAGUCUGGAGAGGACGGCAACAGCAUGAUCAGUCAGACUGUUGCCAUGGCAAUAGCAGGGACUUCCGCUCCGAUAUCUCGUCCCAGCAGCUUCCUGCUCAACCCACAGGCCAGUCGUCAGCAUGGCACCUUCUCAGCAGAGUCCAGCCGCAGCCUGUUGAUCUGUCUGUUGUGGGUUCUGAAGAAUGCUGAUGAGUGUGUCCUACAGAAGUGGUUCUCUGACCUGUCUGUCUCCCAGCUCAAUCGUCUGCUGGACAUGCUCUACCUAUGUGUCUCCUGCUUCGAGUACAAGGCCCAUGUUGUGUUCACCAUGCAGGGGAAGAAGGCCUUUGAGCGCAUGAACAGCCUAACCUUCAAGAAGUCCAAGGACAUGAAGGUCAAGCUGGAGGAGGCCAUACUGGGGAGUAUCGGGGCACGGCAGGAGAUGGUCCGUCGCAGCAGGGGACAGCUGGGUACACUAGAGAGGAGUCCAUCAGGCAGUGCCUUUGGCAGCCAGGAGAACCUACGCUGGAGGAAAGACAUGACACACUGGCGCCAGAACAGCGAGAGGAUGGACAAGAGCCACAGAUCACUCAGAACCAGAGCGGAGCUGGAGCACGAAGCACUUAUUGAUGGUAACCUGGCAACCGAGGCAAACCUGAUCAUUCUGGACACUCUGGAGAUCAUCGUUCAGACGGUGUCUGUGACAGAGUCUAAGGAGAGUAUCCUGGGUGGAGUGUUGAAGGUGCUCCUCCACAGCAUGGCCUGUAACCAGAGUGCCCUCUACCUGCAGCACUGCUUUGCUACACAGAGGGCUCUCGUCUCAAAGUUCCCCGAACUGCUGUUUGAGGAGGAAACAGAGCAGUGUGCUGACCUGUGUCUGCGUCUGCUGAGGAACUGUAGCAGCAGUAUCGGCACCAUCCGAGCCCACGCCUCCGCUUCACUCUACCUGCUCAUGAGGCAGAACUUUGAGAUCGGCAACAAUUUUGCACGUGUCAAGAUGCAGGUGACCAUGUCCCUGUCCUCCCUGGUGGGAACGUCUCAGAACUUCAACGAGGAGUUCCUCCGACGUUCCCUGAAGACCAUCCUGACCUACGGAGAGGAAGAUCUGGAACUCCGGGAGACCACCUUCCCUGAUCAGGUUCAGGACCUGGUGUUCAACCUCCACAUGAUCCUGUCUGAUACAGUCAAGAUGAAGGAGCACCAGGAGGACCCAGAGAUGCUCAUAGACCUCAUGUACAGGAUCGCUAAGGGUUACCAGACGUCUCCAGACCUGCGUCUGACGUGGCUGCAGAACAUGGCGGGUAAACACUCUGAGAGGACCAAUCACGCGGAGGCAGCCCAGUGUCUGGUGCACAGCGCCGCUCUGGUGGCAGAAUACCUCAGCAUGCUGGAGGACCGCAAGUACCUGCCGGUCGGCUGUGUCACCUUCCAGAACAUCUCUUCCAACGUGCUUGAGGAGUCAGCAGUAUCUGAUGACGUGGUGUCUCCUGAUGAAGAGGGUAUCUGCUCUGGGAAAUACUUCACUGAGGCUGGCCUGGUGGGGCUGCUGGACCAGGCUGCUUCCUCCUUCUCCAUGGCUGGUAUGUACGAGGCGGUGAACGAGGUGUACAAGGUACUGAUCCCCAUUCACGAGGCCAGCCGGGACGCCAAGAAGCUGGCCACCAUACAUGGUAAACUACAGGAAGCCUUUGGCAAAAUCGUACACCAGAGCACUGGCUGGGAGGUAGGUCGGCCACUAAGUCAUGGUUCCUGCUUGGCUACUUCAUAUCAGUUAUCUGCUAGUCCUGGGCGUUGUUGCUCUCAGCUGUUACUUUAAACUGUACCAUCCAUUAACAUCUACCUGCCUGGACUGGAUGCUGUCCCUCCGUCCAUUCAACCAACUGUGGGACUGCUGAUGCCAUGUUAUGGGCAGCACCCCCCCCCCCCCCCCCCCUUACUCCUCCUCAUUCUCCUCGUUCUCUCUUUCUGUGGAAGAGGAGGUUGUUUUAACGUGACUGUUUUGGCAGGCCAUGCAUGGGAGCCCCAGUGUGACACUAAUGACAAGUGUUGGUGAAUGAAUGAUUCACCUGUUUGCACACCUGCCUUUUCAGACCAUCUCUCUCAUCAACGACAAACUGGUCAUCUGCUCGCUCAUCUCAUCUCCAGCCACAGGGUUCGAUUUUAGUCAAAUAUUCAUGCAAAAGAUACACUCCCCAGGUUGUUCUCUCAAUACACACUCACACAAACAAAUGAACAACAAAAUCACCAACUAUUACCGUAUGCAGUUCGGACUGGAUCCACAUUCUUGGAUCCAGUCCAUUUCUUCAGGAGGGUGCAAUUCAAAUUAAUCUGGAUUGUUUCAUUUGUCCCACCCUAAUUUUGAUUAGUACAUUUUUUCCCCCCUUUUAUUUGAAAAAGACUAACUAAAUCGACCCCUGAGUUCUCUCAUUCAUACGGCUGGUCUUCUGCUAACUGAUAUUAACCUGGUCUGUUGCAUGAUAAGGACAGAGCACUCCUCCUUAUUCUUCACUGAGGAAACUAAAGCACUGGGAGGACAGCCCCAUGAAUAGUGUGUUUCUAGGGGCUGUGGAACUCACCUCUUCACUACGUCUGCCUUCGCUCUCUCUCUUUCUCUUGUUUCUCUUCGUUGCAUGUGAUGGCUCUUCCAUGUUGAGUUUGUCUCUUGAGUUUGUUCUUUCUCAAAGUCAAAAGGAAUGAUAUGUUUUUCCUUUGGUGGUUGCUGUUAUUUCUAUUUAUUUUGGUUUAUGUUGUUAUUUCUGUUAGUUUCUCGAGUGAAGUACCUGAAUCCUGAUUAAAAUGUCUUCUGUUUUCUCCUUUUGAUUUCCCCGGUUGCCAUGCCGACCCUUCCUUCCCACUUUACUUAUUGUGUGUUGUGGAUGGGAAGAGAAUGUUUGGUACGUACUUCAGAGUAGGAUUGUACGGUUCUAAAUUCGGGGACUUGGACGAGCAGGAGUUUGUAUACAAAGAGCCUGCCAUCACCAAGCUGGCUGAGAUCUCACACCGACUCGAGGGGUUUUAUGGCGAGCGCUAUGGAGAAGACCAGGUGGAAGUCAUUAAGGACUCCAAUCCUGUGGACAAGUGCAAACAGGACCCAAAUAAGGCUUAUGUCCAGAUCACGUACGUGGAGCCGUACUUCGACACAUACGAGAUGAAGGACCGCAUCACUUACUUCGACAAGAACUACAACCUGCGGCGGUUUGUCUACUGCACACCAUUCACACUGGACGGGCGGGCGCACGGGGAUCUGCACGAUCAGUUCAAACGCAAAACCAUCCUGACCACAUCCCACGCCUUUCCCUACAUCAAGACCCGCAUCAACAUCAUCCACAAAGAGGAGAUCAUCUCUAUGCCCAUCGAGGUGGCCAUAGAGGAUAUGCAGAAGAAGACCGGAGAGCUGGCCUUCGCUACCCACCAGGACCCAUCUGAUGCCAAGAUGCUGCAGAUGGUGCUGCAGGGGUCAGUGGGGACUACCGUCAACCAGGGACCUCUGGAGGUGGCCCAGGUGUUCCUGUCAGAGAUCCCCAGUGAUCCUAAACUCUACAGACACCACAACAAACUACGCCUCUGCUUCAAAGACUUCACCAAGAGGUGUGAAGAUGCCCUGCGUAAAAAUAAGAGUCUGAUUGGUCCAGACCAGAAGGAGUACCAGAGGGAGUUGGAGAGGAACUACCAUCGCCUGAAGGAGGCGCUACAACCACUCAUCUGCAGAAAGAUACCCCAGCUUUAUAAACCCGUGCUGCAGGUCAACUCUCACAGCAAACGGACAGCUUAACCAGAGAUUCCUUCAGCAGAAUGAGUCUUCGCAAGCUUGAACUUUGAAGAUGAAGAGAAUUGAAGGAUCACAACCUUAAUUUAUUAAUGUGUAAAUACUGAUGGUCAGUGUCUUGAGAAAAGUCAGUGUUCCCCAUAGAAGGAAAGCUCAAGUGUUACUACGAAGUCGGUACAUCAUUCCAGUGUCUUAUUCGUUUACAGGCAGCCUGUUACGCAAUCAGUGGGUUUAACAAAGUGGAACUUACUAUGUACGAUGUGUCAAAUCUGUAUACAUAUUUCAUGUGUGCACCUUUUUUUCAUUACAUUUUAUGACUUGAAAGUUUAUUAUUUAAUCCAAAAUGAGAAAAAAACAAGCAAAAUAUGUGCUACCACUCUUUAUCAUAAUGCUUUAUUUUUAGUUAAGAUACUUUUGUUUAAAGUUAAGGAAAUGUUUUAAACAUCAUGAAUUGUUUUAUGUAGUUUUUGUUUACUUUAAGUAUUUUACUAAAUCAAUAUUUUAAUGUCCAA